GCGAAACGCUGGCGGCAGGCUUAGCACAUGCAAGUCGAACGCCCGGGCAAACCGGGAGUGGCAGACGGGUGAGUAACACGUGGGAACGUGCCCUUCGGUUCGGAAUAACUCAGGGAAACUUGAGCUAAUACCGGAUACGUCCGCAAGGAGAAAGAUUUAUCGCCGAAGGAUCGGCCCGCGUCUGAUUAGCUAGUUGGUGAGGGUAACGGCUCACCAAGGCGACGAUCAGUAGCUGGGUCUGAGAGGAUGAUCAGCCACACUGGGACUGAGACACGGCCCAGGACCCCUACGGGAGGCAGCAGUGGAAGAAUAUUGGACAAUGGGCGAAAGCCUGAUCCAGCCAUGCCGCGUGAGUGAUGAAGGCCCCUAGGGUUGUAAAGCUCUUUUCGGCGGGGACGAAUAAUGACGGUACCCGCAGAAGAAGCCCCCGGCUAACUUUCGUGCCAGCAGCCGCUGGUAAUACGAAGGGGGCCUAGCGUUGCUCGGAAAUCACUGGGCGUAAAGGGCGGCGUUAGGCGGACGUUUAAGUCGGGGGUGAAAUCCUGAGGCUCAACCUCAGAAUUGCCUUCGAUACUGGGCGUCUCGAGACCGGAAGAGGUGAGUGGAACUGCGAGUGUAGAGGUGAAAUUCGUAGAUAUUCGCAAGAACACCAGUGGCGAAGGCGGCUCACCUGGUCCGGUUCUGACGCUGAGGCGCGAAAAGCGUGGGGGAGCAAACAGGAUUAGAUACCCUGGUAGUCCACGCCGUAAACGAUGGAUGCUAGCCGUUGGCGAGCUUGCUCGUCAGUGGCGCAGUUUAACACUUUAAAGCAUCCCGCCUGGGGAGUACGGUCGCAAGAUUAAAAACUCAAAGGAAUUGACGGGGGCCCGCACAAGCGGUGGAGCAUGUGGUUUUAAAUUCGAAGCAAACGCGCAGAACCUUACCAACCUUUGACAUGGUCCAGUAUGGGGAUCAGAGAUGGACCCCUUCAGUUCGGCUGGCUGGAACACAGGUGCUGCAUGGCUUUGCCGUCAGCUCGUGUCGUGAGAUGGUUGGGUUAAGUCCCGCAACGAGCGCAACCCUCGCCCUUAGUUGCCAUCAUUCAGUUGGGCACUCUAAGGGGACUGCCGGUGAUAAGGCCGCGAGGAAGGUGGGGAUGAUUGUCAAGUCCUCAUGGCCCCUUACAGGUUGGGCUACACACGUGCUACAAUGGCGGUGACAAUGGGCAGCGAAGGGGCGACCUGGAGCUAAUCCCAAAAAAGCCCGUCUCAGUUCAGAUUGCACUCUGCAACUCGAGUGCAUGAAGGCGGGAAUCGCUAGUAAUCGCAGAUCAGCAUGCUGCGGUGAAUAACGUUCCCGGGCCUUGUACACACCGCCCCGUCACACCAUGGGAAGUUGGUUUUUACCCGAAGGCGUCGCGCUAAACCGCAAAGGGAGGCAGGCGACCACGGUUAGGGUCAGCGACUGGGGUG
rnacentral:rRNA from 1 species